rnacentral:rRNA from 1 species
UACAGAGGUCUCAAGCGUUGUUCGGAUUCAUUGGGCGUAAAGGGUGUGUAGGUGGCGCCGUAAGUCGGGUGUGAAAUUUCGGAGCUUAACUCCGAAACUGCAUUCGAUACUGCGGUGCUUGAGGACUGGAGAGGAGACUGGAAUUCAUGGUGUAGCAGUGAAAUGCGUAGAGAUCGUGAGGAAGACCGUGGCGAAGGCGGGAUCUCUGGACAGCUUCCUGACAGCUGAGG